GGAUUUUCUUGGUAUGUUUAUCAACACUCAAAGAAAUUGCAUUGCAAGCUCUGCUGUCUGAGAAAAUAAAUAAUUGCGCAAUUAACUAAUCAACUUGGAGAAUUUUUAAAAGGUUAAAAAUACAGCUUAACUUAACGUGCAUCGUGUUUAUUUAAAGUUAAACGUUCUCCAGGAAUUUUCAAAAAUGGAAGAAAUGUCGAUUUGAAUUCGUCGAUAAUUUGUGAUUAAAUUAUAAUCGUUAAAUGGUCGUGUUUUUAAUAAAAGAAUCAUGGAAGCUUUAAAUCUCAAUUUGAAACACGAUAUUCAAUCGCAACAAAGAUUAUUCGACAUUCUUCAGUCGUCCUCAUCCUCGGGGGGUGGAGGACCGCAUCAUGGUCACGGUCAUUCGGGAGGCAGCUCGUCGUCCUCCUCGAUUGAAUUUAUGCUCCGUUCUUACGAUCAUCAACAAGACCACGAUCUUAUCGCUGCCUUUAAUUUUAAUCAGUAUGCUAACAACAAUCAACAUCAUCAUCAUCAUCAACAACAACAACUUCCUCCUCCUCCACCACCCCCACAAGCGCCACAAACUCCGCCACAAAAUCAUAACACGACUAUUCCUUCUUCCUUGUCGUCAUCGUCUACGACAACCUCGUCCACCACGACAACUUCGCCAUCGACAUCUUUAUCAGCUUCGGAACAACAUCAACAUGACAUGAUGACUACGACGUUAGAACUCGAUCCGAACAUUAUCCUGCAAAAUUAUGUCAAUGACAAUUCAGACUUUGGGGAUGGGAGCAUCUCGUCAAAUUCUGGAAAAGGUCGUCCCCACUACUGCACGCAUUGCCAAGCCUCGUACAAAACAAGGACGCAUUUACGCCGCCACAUGGUCAUCCAUCUCCCCUCGCGACCUUAUCCUUGUGCCGAGUGCGGCAAGGGGUUCAAUCGUAAAGAGCACUUGAGCAAACAUAUGGAAGCCGUGCAUAGUGGAACGAAGCACGUGUGUCCAUUAUGCGAGAAAUCAAUCUCUAGAAAAGACCACUUGGCGAGACACGUUAAAAAUAUGCACCCCACCUACGCCGUCCUCCUGAACAAGGAAGAUUUCCUCUCACUCACCUCGUCCGCAACGUUAGCGAAGAUUGGCGUAGUAUCAAAUCGAACAAAAAUUGCACCUGCCCCAUCACCGACAAAGUCUUCUUCAAAUCCACGCUCCACAAAAGCCUCGCUCCGAAUCCCGGUAAUAAAUUCGCAACAACCUGGUGGUGGCAACCUGUCAGCCAGUCCGGACGGAAAGAAAUCUCUAAAUUCAUCCCCUCCACGUGAGGAUAAUAACGAUACGAGAAAUCGGUCAGCGUCUUCGUCCUCCUCGUUGUCAUCUUCUUGUUCUCGUCAAGAGGAAACGACGACCAAGUCCCAUCCGCAGCAGGGACAAGUGCAAUCUCAAAAUAGUUUACAAACUUUUCAUCAACUUGACUCUACUGGACCAAGCCUGUCGUACAGUACGACGAGCACGACCGUGACGAAAACCACCACAACAUCAUCACCUAAACUUCCAAAACCUCCGAAACGAUCACUCCUCCAACCAAAUGGAAACGGACUUGUCAGCCUCACAAAUUUGAGUCUAACGUUAGGCGGACAAAUUAAGGAAGCCCCCUUCGCCAAUUGUUCUCCAAACAAGAAACAGCAACUCAACAUGACCCUCCAAUGUCACGAAUGCGGAGUUACGUGUAACAACGAAAAAGAUUUAGCGACCCAUUUGAGAGGACACAAACCACAAAAUUUCCGCUGUCCCGAUUGUCCAAGGGCGUACACGAGAAGAGAAAAAUUGUCUGAACAUAUCCGUUGUUUUCAUCAGGGACAAAAAUUCAAGUGUGAACAUUGUGGAAAAGAGCUCUCUCGAAAAGAUCACGUCCUCCGCCACGUGCGAAGCAUUCAUCCGGACUUAUUAGCGUCUCGAUUUCAUGGGAUGAAUUCCACCGACAUCCCCGUGGAACACCUCGGCCUUCCUUUGCCCCUCGUCAUGAACGAGGAUGACCACGACCGCCUUUCCUCCAUUCCAAUGCCAACGACGAAACAGUCUCAUGGAAAUGGUGACGGGAGUAGCGGUGCGAUAACGAUCGCCUCCUCCUCCGCCAACGAUAUGGGCGUCCUUCUCCGCAGUAUUUGCCAAUAUUGUCUCAAAGUUUUCGGGACGAGUUACCAUUUGAGCAGACACAUAGAAUCCUGUCACAACGGGGACAUCCGUCCCUACCCGUGCCCCUCCUGUUCGAAACAGUUCAAACGGAAGGACCACCUCACAAAACAUAUCAAGUCACAUUGUCCCACGUUACGCGAGGGGGUAGUAACGCCACAUCGCCCUCGCACCAGCAGUGGCAGCAGCGGGUGCAAUAUUGUCAAAAAUGGGCCAGAACAACAUCGCCACGAUCAACAACAGGGCUUCGUCCCACAAAAAAGCCAAGCGGUCAGAAAUCCAUUUCAUCAUCACGACAAUGCCAAGGAGUCUUCCGGGAGUAAGAGAAAAGUCAAAUCGGAACGAAUCCCAUCCCGCAAAAAGGUUCGCAAGACUGAUCCCCCUCAAUCAACUUAUCCUCCUCCUCCUCCACCCCCACAAAACGGGCCCCAUCUACUCGACGGCAUAAUGAAUCUGACCAACAAGGCGGACUCGAUCUCUGACGAAGAUUCCUCCUCGCAAGACUUCAAUCUCGCCAUGAUCUCGUCCUUCAUUUCCUCCUCGGCUGAAAACGUCGGCGGCGGCGCAGAACAAGACUUAUCUACCGCUUUAAUGCUCACCCAAGAAAAUGAUAACCACGACCACGACGAAGGUGAAGAAGUCGUCUCGGUUAUCGUACAUCAAGAUGAUAACCACCACGACGACUUAGUACAUCCCCUCCUCUCCCCACAGUCUUCGCCGACCAGCUCGUCGUCCCUAUUUCGGUGUGGCCACUGCCAAAAAGAAUUCUCCUCACGGGAUCAACUUCUCGACCAUUUGCAAGAUCACAGUGCGGAUGAUUCGUCCUCAAAUUCGUCGCCAUUGCUAAAUAGUAAUCAUGACGUGCAGCAAAGACGACAUCAUCAUCACGCCGACCGGCAUCACGAGGGACUCAGAAGUAUACAAUUUUCUAAUUAUUGAGGACAUCAUAAACUUGGACAUCACAGCCUUUAAUAUUUAGUCACGAGAUUGUAGAGGUCUUCACUCAUGUACAAAUUAGUUUAACUUAUCUCGUCCUACGUUAAAAAUGUCAGCUAAAUAUGCCGCUAAAAAACCUGGGUGCCUUAACUAAUGGCUUAUCCAGACUAAUUAAUUAACUUAUCAUAUUUAAAUUUCUACCUGUACAUACAAAUAUAAAUGACUCAUAAUUAACAUAAUUAAUUAGUAUUAUACAUACAAAAAUGUAUACUAAAAAUGGAAAUAUUUUGGUCCCCAUUUGGGUAACAAUUGACUACUUUUUCAAUGCCAAACUUGUGUAUCAUUUUUACUCAGAAAUUAUUGUACAAAUUCGUACACACAGUACGAAAAGUAGAUAUUUAUCGUUCUUUUUUUGCUAUGUAUUCAUUAAAUUUGUGUAUGUAUGUACCACCGCUCGCUAUUUAAUACUUAAUUUAGUAUUUAUUUAACAACCCGUUAUUAACAAUCAGUUACAGAAACGUAUUGUUCAUUUGUAGUAAUAAUGUAAUGCAUGUAAUAAUUUACAUAAAUAUUUAUGUGUCCACUAAGUUGUAGAAAUUCUUAUGUACCGAUUUAGUUGCAAUAAAAUUCUUAACAAAAUGAUAAAAAUUUCCAACUAGCAAAA